GUGUCAGCAGCCGCGGUAAUACGGAGGGUGCGAGCGUUAAUCGGAAUUACUGGGCGUAAGGCGUACGUAGGCGGUUGGGUAAGUCGGAUGUGAAAGCCCCGGGCUUAACCUGGGAAUUGCAUUCGAUACUGUCCGGCUAGAGUGUGGAAGAGGGAAGUGGAAUUCCAGGUGUAGCGGUGAAAUGCGUAGAUAUCUGGAGGAACAUCAGUGGCGAAGGCGACUUCCUGGUCCAACACUGACGCUGAGGUACGAAAGCGUGGGGAGCAAACAGGAUUAGAUACCCUGGUAGUCCACGCCGUAAACGAUGAGAACUAGCCGUUGGAUUCAUCUGGAAUUCAGUGGCGCAGCUAACGCGUUAAGUUCUCCGCCUGGGGAGUACGGCCGCAAGGUUGAAACUUAAAUGAAUUGACGGGG
rnacentral:rRNA from 1 species